AUUGAACGCUGGCGGAAUGCUUUACACAUGCAAGUCGAACGGCAGCACGGACUUCGGUCUGGUGGCGAGUGGCGAACGGGUGAGUAAUAUAUCGGAACGUGCCCAGUCGUGGGGGAUAACGUAGUGAAAAUUACGCUAAUACCGCAUACGAUCUAUGGAUGAAAGCGGGGGAUCGCAAGACCUCGCGCGAUUGGAGCGGCCGAUAUCAGAUUAGGUAGUUGGUAGGGUAAAGGCCUACCAAGCCAACGAUCUGUAGCUGGUCUGAGAGGACGACCAGCCACACUGGAACUGAGACACGGUCCAGACUCUUACGGGAGGCAGCAGUGGGGAAUUUUGGACAAUGGGCGAAAGCCUGAUCCACCCAUUCCGCGUGCAGGAUGAAGGCCCUCGGGUUGUAAACUGCUUUUGUACAGAACGAAAAGGUCUCUACUAAUAC
rnacentral:rRNA from 1 species